GGGGAAUAUUGGACAAUGGGCGAAAGCCUGAUCCAGCGACGCCGCGUGAGCGAUGAAGUAUUUCGGUAUGUAAAGCUCUAUCAGCAGGGAAGAAAACGACGGUACCUGACUAAGAAGCCCCGGCUAACUACGUGCCAGCAGCCGCGGUAAUACGUAGGUGGCAAGCGUUGUCCGGAAUUACUGGGUGUAAAGGGUGCGCAGGCGGGAUUGCAAGUUGGAUGUGAAAUACCGGGGCUUAACCCCGGAGCUGCAUCCAAAACUGUAGUUCUUGAGUGGAGUAGAGGUAAGCGGAAUUCCGAGUGUAGCGGUGAAAUGCGUAGAUAUUCGGAGGAACACCAGUGGCGAAGGCGGCUUACUGGGCUCUAACUGACGCUGAGGCACGAAAGCAUGGGUAGCAAACAGGAUUAGAUACCCUGGUAGUCCAUGCUGUAAACGAUGAAUGCUAGGUGUGGGGGGACUGACCCCUUCCGUGCCGGAGUAAACACAAUAAGCAUUCCACCUGGGGAGUACGACCGCAAGGUUGAAACUCAAAGGAAUUGACGGGGGCCCGCACAAGCAGUGGAGUAUGUGGUUUAAUUCGAAGCAACGCGAAGAACCUUACCAGGUCUUGACAUCUGGCUAACGAAGUAGAGAUACAUUAGGUGCCCUUCGGGGAAAGCCAAGACAGGUGGUGCAUGGUUGUCGUCAGCUCGUGUCGUGAGAUGUUGGGUUAAGUCCCGCAACGAGCGCAACCCCUGCCGAUAGUUGCUACGCAAGAGCACUCUAUCGGGACCGCUACCGACAAGGUGGAGGAAGGUGGGGACGACGUCAAAUCAUCAUGCCCCUUAUGACCUGGGCUACACACGUACUACAAUGGCCGUUAACAGAGGGAAGCAACACCGCGAGGUAGAGCAAAACCCUAAAAACGGUCCCAGUUCAGAUUGUAGGCUGCAACUCGCCUAUAUGAAGUUGGAAUUGCUAGUAAUCGUGGAUCAGCAUGCCACGGUGAAUACGUUCCCG
rnacentral:rRNA from 1 species